rnacentral:rRNA from 1 species
UACAGAGGGGUGCGAGCGUUUGUCCGGAAUCACUGGGCGUAAAGGGCGCGUAGGCGGCUUGAUAAGCGUGCGGUGAAAGCCCGGGGCUCAACCCCGGGUCGGCCGUGCGAACUGUCGAGCUGGAGCACUGUAGAGGCAGGUGGAAUUCCGGGUGUAGCGGUGGAAUGCGUAGAGAUCCGGAAGAACACCGGUGGCGAAGGCGGCCUGCUGGGCAGUGGCUGACGCUGAGGCGCGACAGCGUGGGGAGCAACAGG